UGUUGCUAGAAAUCAAUUUACAAUAAAUUUUUUAACCAAAAAAUCUAUCACCGACUGCUCUUCAAAGAUUUUUUUCCUCUCUUCCCAAAUUUCCUACAUUAGUGGUUCACUUUUUACAAUGAGAAACACUGCAUAUGGUGGUUGUAGGCAAGUUACGGUGAAAGGUGUAACUGAUCUAGAAAAGUUCGGCGCUCUUCGAGUAUUCCGUGACUGCUUGCCUAUCUUUUUGUCUUCUUUUUCCCCGCAGUUUCAAGAUUGCUGCAAAAAUUAUUCUUCUCCUUCACUUUUUUCUUUUAUCGGCAAAUAUUCUGCUCACCAGGUAAUUCAGAGCCAAGGAAGGUUCGUGGGCCUACUUUACUAAAAGAUAUUUGGAAACUUCCUCUGGGGAAGAUAGUUGAUGUGCCGUUUAAUAAUCGUAACCAAGCUGUUCGGGAAAAAGGUCGAAAGUUGCUAGCUUUCUAGGAAUUAUUGCGACAACUCCAGAACUAACAUCAAGGAUACCUAGUAUUGCUGAAAACACUUCACUUUCUCACGGUCAUACAGUCUGAUGAUCGAUAAUUUAGUGGGUCGAAGAUUUCAACAUGAAGAAGAGUUGCAAAAAUUAUUUGAAGACUAUUAUUCGUUGGGAUUAGUCAUAUAAUAACAUUAUCUAUUUACUUCAAACAAUAUAAGUUUAUUUUUAAGUUAUU